rnacentral:lncRNA from 1 species
AGCCCGAUUAGCUAACUCAUGUUAUUUGCUUUCAGCCUGACAAACACCAUUUGCUUUCUGCAUAACGGCUUGCUUUGGAGAGGAAAAGGGAGGAGGCAAAGGAAUGUCGAUCAGCGGCAGCGAGUGAGAGAAGGCCCUCCAGCAAGGACUGGCGGCAGGGAUCACGCUCCAGCUGGACGCAGCCAGCAGCUUGCUUCGUGGGCUCAGCUCCUCAGACUCUGUUCCGUUUUAUCCCAGCCAUGAGCCUCAGUUCCUGGAAAAUGCGCCCGGCAUUCACGCAGCGCUCAGCUGGAAUCGAAGCUUUGCAGCCACGGAGCAACCAGUGUCCCUCUUCUGCAUGACAUGGGGCGGCCUCGGGUUUUGGCCCCCACGUGACACAGAAGUCCUGCAAGCAGACUUGGUCCCAGCUCAACUCGCCUUCUCCCCCACCCCAUUUUUAAUUAUUCUUUUAAUAACAGUACAGUUUGAGAGAAAAGAGAAAGCCGAAGCAAGAGAAACAACAAAGAAAACGUAGCGAAGAAACACCAACGGAUCUCAGACUAACACUGCACGGAACAUCAAGUACAAAAGAAAAAGGAAAAAAAUUCACUGUAGGUCCGUAAUCAUUAUCCUUUCUACUCAGCAGGGCUUUUUCUUUAGAACUUAGUUAAAAUUAAUUGAAAAUUCUACUAAAUUGCAAUUCUUCAACUUAUUCUUUAUUCACCUUGACUUGACAAAGCCUCGGUGCAAAUAUCCACCUCCAAUACUUUCCCCAAAGAUCCCGUUCCCCUUUCAGUUAUCAUUAAUUUCUUUCGCUGGUUAUCGUCUUCCAUAGUUCAUUAAGCUUGCUUAGUGACUAGCUUAUUUUUCCAGUCUGCCAUAAUUGCAUGUUCAUUGCAUACCACUUCAAGGAAAUUUAAACUCCAGCCACAAUGGUCAUGUACUUGAAUAGCUCUAUUCAACUUAACUCAGCUUAUUAUAACAACAAAACAAGAGUUAACAUCUAAAAAUAUUUUUUAAAAUAUUAACUUGCAUUCUUCAACUGGGCUGAGCAUGAGCAGAAGUCUGUGAAGGUUUAAGGCAGCGACUCUGUGGAGCUUUAACUGGGAUGCACUCUUUCCCACUGCCCAAAAGCCAGCAGUUUCUUGUUUGAAAGCACACCUGGAGCUACCUAUUCAAAUUGUUUUGUUGAUCAGGCCCGCCUUUGCUCUGGGGGCAAAUCUGUUUACCUUACUGA